UACGUAGGGUGCGAGCGUUGUCCGGAAUUAUUGGGCGUAAAGAGCUCGUAGGCGGUCUGUCGCGUCUGCUGUGAAAACCUAGGGCUUAACUCUGGGCGUGCAGUGGGUACGGGCAGGCUAGAGUGCGGUAGGGGAGACGUGGAAUUCCUGGUGUAGCGGUGAAAUGCGCAGAUAUCAGGAGGAACACCGGUGGCGAAGGCGGGUCUCUGGGCCGUAACUGACGCUGAGGAGCGAAAGCAUGGGGAGCGAACAGG
rnacentral:rRNA from 1 species